rnacentral:rRNA from 1 species
AUGUUAGAGAAGGCCAAGCUGCGUAAGAAGAUGAAGAUGGAAGGGAAAAAGCCGGCCAAGGUGCCGGAUCUUCUUCUUCCAGAAGUGGAGCUCCUCGAGAUAGCUGCGGAAGGGGUUCCUCCGCUCCCCCGCAAGGACGCCAUCGAGCUGGGUAGAGCGUGCGGCGUGCCAGAGCUCGACCUCAACCUGAUGCCCUCCGCUUGGAACGUCCGGGGCCUAGGUAGACACAAAAAAUGUACCGACAUUAAGGCAGGGAUUGUAGCCACUUUGUGCUCGAUCGCCUGCUGCCAAGAAACCAAACUUACCGACAUCGGCCGUUUUAAGGCCAUGACUUUCCUUCCCCCCAAUCUUAGAGACUUUGACUUCAUCCCAUCUAUAGGCGCCUCUGGAGGUAUUCUAACUGCUUGGGACGGUAGUAAUCUCUGGACUUGCUCCUCGGUGUCUAAAAAUCAGCUCUUCCUCUCUUGCUCUUUUGAAUCCAAGGUGGAUGACCUCUCAUUUACUUUAACUAAUGUGUACGGCCCUUGCGACCCGUCUGAAAAAGCUUUCUUAGACUUGCUCGUAAGUCUCUCUUCGACAAUUACCGGCCCUUGGGCUAUCAUUGGCGACUUCAACCUCAUCCUUCGCCGCUCCGAUAAAUCUUCCCCAAACUUCAACUCGAUUGAGGCCAUGCUUUUCUCUGACGCUAUCCAAUCCAUGCGACUACAAGACCUCCCCCUCCUCGGCCGUCGCUAUACAUGGUCUAACCAACAAGACGCUCGCAUCCUCGUUCGAUUAGACCGGGCAUUAGUUAACGUGGCCUGGGCCCAGCACUUCCCAGAUAGCGCUCUCACCUCCUCCACUCGAUCCACGUCAGACCACGUCCCAAUCCAACUGUCGGCGGCCACUCAAAUCCCAAAACCCUCGAUCUUCCGGCUCAAUAAUGUCCUUCUAGCCAAUCCCUCUUUCCGAAAUAAGGUGGCUUCAAACUGGGCCAGCGUAGGGUCCCGACACCUUGUGAGGGGUUCGGUUGGGAUGCUUGCCUUGCGCCUCAAGCGAACUCGAGAUAUGGCCAAAAAGUGGUCGGCUAACCUUCGUCUACCCACUACUUUGGCCAAGAACUGCCACACCACGAUCAACCUCUUAGAUAAGAUGGAAGAAUCCCGCAUGCUCUCCCCCAUUGAGCUUCAUCUUCAGACCGCAGUUAAAUUAUCCUCUUUUUUUUUGCGGGGGAAAGGGGUUUUUCAUUAA